CAGACAUUAGUGUAGUUUCCAAAGUGUUUCAUGUAUCAAAAUCUAUAUACUUAGAGGAAGAACUCAGGAUAAGAAAAAAUCGCUAGGUCCCAAAGGGUUCGUGACUAUCAUCAAAUACAACUGCCGAGUGGCCUGUGGUCAUCUUUUUCAAAUGAGGGAGCCGGGGAGUGAGAGAACCACAGUCAUAACAAAACCUCUGUUGCCCUUCAUCCAUGAUAAGAUUUAAAGCAUUCUACUUUUAAGAAUUAAGCCAUCUUUCAAGUUGUUUUCUACACCAAAUCUAACCUAUUCAAAUAAAAUGAUAAAAUAGCUAAAAAUGGGGUAUUUGGGGGAAAUGCUGUCAGUAGAAAGCAUUGCUUUUUAGUGCCUGCUAACAAAAAAAAAAAAAAGAAGAAGAAGAAGACUCAGUCCUUCCUGUGAGAUGCAAGUGUUAACAUGACAGUGUUAACUUGGAAUCAGGCACUAGUUCAAAAACACUGAGGCAGUGCUCUCCAAUUUUUAGAAAUCUUUCAAAAUAUAAUCUUACCACUACUUAGAGGUAAGUACUUGUGUAUAAAAGUCUUUAAUAUUAGUGAAUGAAUGUAAAAGUGACAAGCUAUGCAUUUUCAAAGGGUAGUGUUAUUUUGUAUCCAAUCCAAUUUUUUUUUUUCAUAGAGACUUACCACAACUGCAAAUUAUUCAAAACAGACUUGAAUGCAUAUCAUUAAGGGGAUAUAGGACUUCCAACUAUACACUUCUGGCUGAUACUUUUAAAGACAGUGCAUUGAAACUUCAGGCUCUAAACAAAUUUCAGCCCCAAAGGUGAUUAAAGGAGAAAUGGUUUAUAUUUUACUUCUUCAGCAGAAAUGGGAAAUGUGGGCGUUACAAAAUGGGCCCAGUUUUUUUAGAGGUAAAUGUUCUAGUAACACUGGAUUAGCAAGCAAACAAAACUGCAUGAAGUUAAUGAAUAUUGCCUUGGAUAAAUAUAGCAUAGGUUGUGUCUAUUGUGUUUAAUUCGCAAUCUAAGGGGGAAAAAACUCUUCUCCAAAGGGUUUGGGUACUUUCCUAUGUUACUCGGCAUGAAAAAUAAAAUUCUUUCCUUCAUCUGACAAUGUUGACAUAAAGAACUCCAUUUCUCUGCCACUUAGGAUCUCUUCUGUGUCCAUUGAGAAAGUUUCUCAGCUGUUUGUAUGUAAAAUAUGGAAAAAUAUACUUCUAAACCUGGUACUUGUGGUUAUACUGGAUAUGUUUGCUACCUAUUUAGAAGUUAUUGGGGGCCGGGAUGUGUCUUUUUAUAUGAUUUUUAGCCAAAUCCAGAUGUUCUGAUACUACAUUUCUGAAUACCUAUCUGACUGUAAAUACAGCCUGAGGAGGUUCAGGUUAAUAAACCUUUUACAUGACUGUUCCUCAGCCAUGCUCCUUGCCAGCUUUGGGCACCUUGUACAUAGAUUUGUUGAAUGUUUAAAUGAUGUUGUUUUUCUAAAUGCUGUUCUCUAAAACAACUUUUUGAAUGUUUUUCGCUUUCCAUUGUUUGGGACUUUGUGUGUUGAUUUAAAAAAAAAAUGUUUCCUAAAUAUUUAACACCAGGAAAACUAUUUCAAAUAAACUGGUGCUAAUCGAAAUAGAAGGCAGAUUUUCAGAUGCAAGAUUUCCAGUAUCAAAUGUUGACACCAGUUAAAUGGAACUGCACUUUCCAAAGGGGACAGCUGGCAUCUACCUGCCAUGGGCAUCAGAAGGACCCCUGAUUGUUUACAGUUUCUGUGGCCCAUUUUAAAAUAGAGAAAUGGUCCUGUCCCCCCAGAGCUGAGAAUUUGCUACAUGGGUCCUAUGGAAGCAUUUAAGUAGAAGUAAGGGUCUAUAGGAAGAAUCAUUUUAGUAAUAGUCUGCUGGUCUUUGGACUUUCACGUCUGUAAUGCUUAGCUGUAACAAUGAAUAUGGUGUUGCCAAUCUAGUCUGACGUCAUCGUCGCCCUGUAUUUCCUGUGUGUAUGGUUCUACCUUGGGUUGCACUGGCACGUGCCGAGCCAGAACACUGGACUUUCAGGAAGACCAUUCUGACUUCUACGGUGUCCACACACAUGCAUUUAAAUGCACUUGUAACUGGUUAACUACCAUGAAGUCUAACUUCCACUUAAUAAAAGUUUUUGUGUAUCUGCUUCU
rnacentral:lncRNA from 1 species